UGCAGAAUCCCGUGAACCAUCGAGUCUUUGAACGCAAGUUGCGCCCGAAGCCGCUAGGCUGAGGGCACGCCUGCCUGGGCGUCA
rnacentral:rRNA from 2 species